rnacentral:rRNA from 1 species
UACGAAGGGGGCUAGCGUUGUUCGGAAUUACUGGGCGUAAAGCGCGCGUAGGCGGAUAUUUAAGUCAGGGGUGAAAUCCCAGAGCUCAACUCUGGAACUGCCUUUGAUACUGGCGGUCUCGAGUCCGGGAGAGGUGAGUGGAACUGCGAGUGUAGAGGUGAAAUUCGUAGAUAUUCGCAAGAACACCAGUGGCGAAGGCGGCUCACUGGCCCGGUACUGACGCUGAGGUGCGAAAGCGUGGGGAGCAAACAGG